GAUGAACGCUGGCGGCGUGCCUAAUACAUGCAAGUCGAGCGAACAGACGAGGAGCUUGCUCCUCUGACGUUAGCGGCGGACGGGUGAGUAACACGUGGAUAACCUACCUAUAAGACUGGGAUAACUUCGGGAAACCGGAGCUAAUACCGGAUAAUAUAUUGAACCGCAUGGUUCAAUAGUUAAAGACGGUUUUGCUGUCACUUAUAGAUGGAUCCGCGCCGCAUUAGCUAGUUGGUAAGGUAACGGCUUACCAAGGCAACGAUGCGUAGCCGACCUGAGAGGGUGAUCGGCCACACUGGAACUGAGACACGGUCCAGACUCCUACGGGAGGCAGCAGUAGGGAAUCUUCCGCAAUGGGCGAAAGCCUGACGGAGCAACGCCGCGUGAGUGAUGAAGGUCUUCGGAUCGUAAAACUCUGUUAUUAGGGAAGAACAAAUGUGUAAGCAACUAUGCACGUCUUGACGGUACCUAAUCAGAAAGCCACGGCUAACUACGUGC
rnacentral:rRNA from 1 species